rnacentral:tRNA from 1 species
GCCUGGCUUGUUCAGUCAGUAGAGCAUGAGACUCUUAAUCUCAGAGUCUUGGGUUCAAGCCCUACUUUGGGUG